rnacentral:rRNA from 1 species
UACGGAGGGUGCAAGCGUUAAUCGGAAUUACGGGGCGUAAAGCGUGCGCAGGCGGUUUGUUAAGUCUGCUGUGAAAUCCCCGAGCUCAACUUGGGAAUUGCAGUGGAUACUGGCAAGCUGGAGUACGGUAAAGGAAGGUGGAAUUCCCGGUGUAGCAGUGAAAUGCGUAGAUAUCAAGUGGAACACCAGUGGCGAAGGCGAGUCUCUGGACAUUUCCUGACGCUGAGGCACGAAAGCCAGGGGAGCAAACGGG